rnacentral:miRNA from 1 species
AGGGAUAGGUAAAACAACUACU